UACGUAGGGGGCAAGCGUUGUCCGGAAUCAUUGGGCGUAAAGCGCGCGUAGGCGGCCCCGUAAGUCCGCUGUGAAAGUCAAAGGCUCAACCUUUGAAAGCCGGUGGAAACUGUGGGGCUAGAGUCCGGAAGAGGCGAGUGGAAUUCCUGGUGUAGCGGUGGAAUGCGCAGAUAUCAGGAGGAACACCAAUAGCGAAGGCAGCUCGCUGGGACGGUAUUGACGCUAAGGCGCGAAAGCGUGGGGAGCAAACAGG
rnacentral:rRNA from 1 species